GACGAACGCUGGCGGCGUGCUUAACACAUGCAAGUCGAACGGAAAGGCCCUGCUUUUGUGGGGUGCUCGAGUGGCGAACGGGUGAGUAACACGUGAGUAGCCUGCCCUUGACUUUGGGAUAACUUCAGGAAACUGGGGCUAAUACCGGAUAGGAGCUCCUGCUGCAUGGUGGGGGUUGGAAAGUUUCGGCGGUUGGGGAUGGACUCGCGGCUUAUCAGCUUGUUGGUGGGGUAGUGGCUUACCAAGGCUUUGACGGGUAGCCGGCCUGAGAGGGUGACCGGCCACAUUGGGACUGAGAUACGGCCCAGACUCCUACGGGAGGCAGCAGUGGGGAAUAUUGCACAAUGGGCGGAAGCCUGAUGCAGCAACGCCGCGUGCGGGAUGACGGCCUUCGGGUUGUAAACCGCUUUCGCCUGUGACGAAGCGUGAGUGACGGUAAUGGGUAAAGAAGCACCAGCUAACUACGUG
rnacentral:rRNA from 1 species